rnacentral:rRNA from 1 species
AACGCGAAGAACCUUACCAAGUCUUGACAUCCCCCUGACCGGUCCGUAACGGGACCUUCUCUUCGGAGCAGGGGAGACAGGUGGUGCAUGGUUGUCGUCAGCUCGUGUCGUGAGAUGUUGGGUUAAGUCCCGCAACUAGCGCAACCCUUAUCUUUAGUAGCCAGCAUGUAGUGGUGGGCACUCUAGAGAGACUGCCAGGGAGAACCUGGAGGAAGGUGGGGAUGACGUCAAAUCAUCAUGCCCCUUAUGACUUGGGCUACACACGUGCUACAAUGGCGUAAACAAAGGGAAGCAGCCCUGUGAAGGUGAGCAAAUCCCAAAAAUAACGUCUCAGUUCGGAUUGUAGUCUGCAACUCGACUACAUGAAGCUGGAAUCGCUAGUAAUCGCGAAUCAGAAUGUCGCGGUGAAUACGUUCCCGGGUCUUGUACACACCG